ACUUAGAUAGCUUAAAAAAAGCUUAACAUUGAAGCUGUUAUGAUGAUCUUAGAUCUCUGAGUA
rnacentral:tRNA from 1 species